UGAGGAAUAUUGGUCAAUGGGCGAGAGCCUGAACCAGCCAAGUAGCGUGCAGGAUGACGGCCCUAUGGGUUGUAAACUGCUUUUAUGUGGGGAUAAAGUGCGUGACGUGUCAUGCAUUGCAGGUACCACAUGAAUAAGGACCGGCUAAUUCCGUGCCAGCAGCCGCGGUAAUACGGAAGGUCCGGGCGUUAUCCGGAUUUAUUGGGUUUAAAGGGAGCGUAGGCUGUCUAUUAAGCGUGUUGUGAAAUUUACCGGCUCAACCGGUGGCUUGCAGCGCGAACUGGUCGACUUGAGUAUGCAGGAAGUAGGCGGAAUUCAUGGUGUAGCGGUGAAAUGCUUAGAUAUCAUGACGAACUCCGAUUGCGCAGGCAGCUUACUGUAGCAUAACUGACGCUGAUGCUCGAAAGUGCGGGUAUCAAACGGG
rnacentral:rRNA from 1 species